rnacentral:rRNA from 1 species
AAAACGACUCUCGGCAACGGAUAUCUCGGCUCUCGCAUCGAUGAAGAACGUAGCGAAAUGCGAUACUUGGUGUGAAUUGCAGAAUCCCGUGAACCAUCGAGUCUUUGAACGCAAGUUGCGCCCGAAGCCGUCAGGCCGAGGGCACGUCUGCCUGGGCGUCACAC